UAGUGAGUUUGAUCCUGGCUCAGGAUGAACGCUAGCGGCAGGCCUAAUACAUGCAAGUCGAACGGGCAGCAAUGUCAGUGGCGAACGGGUGCGUAACGCGUAAGGAACCUGCCCCUCACUGGGGGAUAGCUUUGCGAAAGCGAAGGUAAACCCGCAUAGUUCAGUCGAACGGCAUCGUUCGAUUGAUAAACAUUUAUGGGUGAGGGAGGGUCUUGCGUCUGAUUAGUUAGUUGGCAGGGUAACGGCCUACCAAGACGAUGAUCGAGUAGGGGGUUCUGAGACGGAACGGCCCCCACAUGGACACUGAGACACGGGUCCAACU
rnacentral:rRNA from 1 species